GACGAACGCUGGCGGCGUGCUUAACACAUGCAAGUCGAACGAUGAAGCUAGAGCUUGCUCUGGUGAAUUAGUGGCGAACGGGUGAGUAACACGUGAGUAACCUGCCCCGAACUCUGGGAUAACUGCUGGAAACGGUAGCUAAUACUGGAUACGACCUACGAAGGCAUCUUCUGUAGGUGGAAAGAAUUUCGGUUCGGGAUGGACUCGCGGCCUAUCAGCUUGUUGGUGAGGUAGUGGCUCACCAAGGCGACGACGGGUAGCCGGCCUGAGAGGGUGACCGGCCACACUGGGACUGAGACACGGCCCAGACUCCUACGGGAGGCAGCAGUGGGGAAUAUCGCACAAUGGGCGCAAGCCUGAUGCAGCAACGCCGCGUGAGGGAUGACGGCCCUCGGGUUGUAAACCUCUUUUAGUAGGGAAGAAGCGAAAGUGACGGUACCUGCAGAAAAAGCACCGGCUAACUACGUGCCAGCCGCCGCCGUAA
rnacentral:rRNA from 1 species